GUGGCUGUCUGCUUGCCCUCUCAGGGGGACAGUCUGGUGUGCACCAAAGGAGAUGAGUUUCCUCAUCUGCCUUUUGUGUGCAGGCACAUGCUGAAGGUGGGAGCCGGGUUUUGCUGAGACAACAGAUGCACAUGUGAAGAUAAUUUCUAUUCUUGUAUCUAACUCUUUGCUGCAAAAUAACAGUGGUGAGUGGUGGUCACUCAAGAAAACAAAAAAUAGAAACUAACAUAGUGGAAACAGGAUGAUAGAUUAAUGUCAUUUUGUAUGACAAUGGUUAUUGUCAAGUUACUGUCACAGGGUAGUUUUGCUCUGCGAAAAUGUUUUUCAUCUCAGCUCUCUUAUUGUCUGGUUGUUUCUCAGAUCAAGAAGACACUGGAGCUUGCAGUGCACAGAUCGUUACACGUAUGGAAUUGAUAACAAGGAUAUAAAAUGUAGGUAAAAUGAUAAAAAAGUUGAGAAGCGGUGUGAGCAAAGACCUGCCUGUGAGCCUUCACCUUGAAGGCAUGGGCAUGCACAUCAGAGGAGUGAAAGGAAACCCAUGGAGAAGGCUGGUAUGGCAUGAAACUCCAUUGAACCCCUGGAUAUCCAUUACACAAAUCCCUGAAAAAACCAGGAUUUCUGCAGGUGAAUACUUUCUUCCAUUGUUUUUUACAGUUAUAAAGGAGUUGUGAAAAUGGAAGAAGACACAUGGCUAUGGAGCCACGUACAGAAAUUAUGCUGUAACUUUGUUACAACUUUUUCCUUCCCUUUUAGGUUUGUCCUGAGGAUGAUUUAGCUACUGAAGAGAAAUAAAAGCAGAAAGAGGCCACACCUAAAAUCAUAGACAUUUUCAUCCUCCUCGCUUUUGGAGACACAGCACCAGCUGUGAAUACUGGAUAUGUCUCUGAAGCAAAAGGGGUCAGUGGGAAUAUGAGGAUCUCUUGUGUUCCCACUACAUUGUAUCAAUCUUCAAAGCUGUGUUGUGCCACAUAACAACAGUUUGACCUCACUGUACGACAUCAUUUGAGGCCUGGAUGGAGUGUUUCCCAACUCUGCCCAGUUCCACAAAUCCCCUUUGCAGCGGAGGAGCUGUCAAGGUGUUGAGUUGCCCCUUUCUCCUCCAGCAGUGCUACAUCAGUGCUCAGGACAGUGAAGCUCCACAAGGCAUGGAAGAAAGAACAGCACAUUGGAUAAAGCCAGUCUGAGAUGCACUUGGGAUGUACCUAGAUGCUUUGGUGGUUGUUAUUACAGAAAAUCCAGACCUGUCUUCGCCUUUGUGCUAAAACUGGAGAUUCACACUGAGUGCUUUAUUCUGUGGCUUCACCAGAGUAUAUUCUUGUUCAAGCAUGGCACUGUGCUUAUUCUUCACUUCCAGUUUCACAGAAUCUUAUAAUCAACUAGGUUGGAAAAGACCUUUAAGAUCAUCAAAUCCAACAAUUACCCCAGAACUGCCAAGUCUACCACCAAACCAUGUCACUGAGGUUUCAAGACUGUAUUUGUAUUUGAAGCCAAUGGCAUUGUUUCAUGGAAAUACAGAAGUCCUUGCCAACUAAGAAUAAGGCAGUCAUCAAAAAAAACUUCCACUCUGGUCAUAUUUCAAGAGAUUCAGUAGAGCCUAGGACAGCCUGACAGCACUGCAUCUCCUUGUUGAAGGCCCUGUAGCACACAGAAAUACAAAAUUUAAGUGUUCAGAUUUUUGAGGUGAAAUUCUAUCCAAAUCAUUACAGUGCACAGAAAUGUGCAACCUCAACAGAAAGAGUUUCUCCAUCUGAAAUAAAAUAUUAGCGCUGCUGUUGAUGUAGUCAGUUUCCCCAAGCAAGCACCAUCAUCAGAUGGUCCUAAUUGAGUUCUGACACUCAGUCCAAUCAAUGUGUAUUAAAGAAAGAGCAAAAGAACUUGACUUUAGUUUUGGGAAAAUUACAUAUUUAAAAGAUUUGGUGUCAGCCACAGUGAUUUUACAUUAAGUGAAAGCUGCUGUUAGGAAAAAUAAAUGAGAAAAUCUCAAAUCUACUCAGCUCCAUUCGCUGCACAUUUUAAGAAGAGAAACCUUGUUGAUCAUAAAUACAUUAUUGUUUGUUAAACGAGAGACCUGUAUAUUCCCUGGAUAUGUUAUUUUUAAUAAACCUUGCUUCUUAUCCACAUAAACAUCAGGGAACAUUCAAAUUACUAUUUUACCUCUACAAAAUGUUCAUUUUCUGUUUUCCCCCCUCAAGAAUAACUUUGAAAAACUGUGUAGUACUUCAGACUUCUAUAAGCGGGUGAGGUUUUACUCGUAGAACCAAUGGCCAAAUGAUGGUUGGGUGGUCUAAAGUUUACUCAGCACCCACAUAUUAUAUGGUUUCCAGAACUUCUGUGGUUGAAUUUGAAUAUUUAACUUUUUUUCAUUCUGUGCAUUAAAUCGUUAUUUCAAAUUAUUGAGGAAGUAAUGGAAAACUGUUAGCUUCAGCAUGAUAUAAUAAUAUAAUGAAAGCCUGAAUUAUUUCUCUGACAUUUAA